UACAGAGGGUGCGAGCGUUAAUCGGAAUUACUGGGCGUAAAGAGCUCGUAGGCGGCUCAGUAAGUCGGGUGUGAAACCCCCAGGCUCAACCUGGGGACGCCACCCGAUACUGCUGUGGCUAGAGUCCAGUAGGGGAGUGUGGAAUUCCCGGUGUAGCGGUGAAAUGCGCAGAUAUCGGGAAGAACACCCGUGGCGAAGGCGGUUCUCUGGGACGGUACUGACGCUGAGACGCGAAAGCGUGGGGAGCGAACAGG
rnacentral:rRNA from 1 species